rnacentral:misc_RNA from 1 species
CACACCACCAAGUCAAUUCUUCAUUGAUUGGUGAAUCGCAUAAAUACUUUAAGCACUGCAUAAAAAUGACACCUCAGUUUCCAAAUAUAAUAGCAUGAACUAAUAACAAUGGCAGCGAUAGAAAAAGGUCCACAUCUUGUCUUUCUGUAUGAUAAAAGUUCACAUUCUCGCAACCAUUCAAAUAGAAAUCAAGGUUUUUAAACAAGCUAACCUUACCAGCUUUACGUUAAAAAUACAUAACUUCCAUUCUGCAUAUUCAAAUAAGUGGUACAUGUUGCAGAGGUUGCAAACGAUUGUUAAAAAUGCACAAAAAUGUCCAAACUUAAAUUUAAAUUGUCAGUAAAACAAGUGCUUUAUUUUCCUCAUAUUCCUAUUUCCAGCACAAAAUCAUUAAAAAAAAUAUGGCUGACUAACUAGGUAGCAUUAUUCUCGUGACAUCCCAUUAUAAAUUUCCACACAAGCCCUUUCCAGCAACUUUCAGGUACUUUCCAUUAUGCACUAAUUAUGAAAUUGCAGGGUGCAAACAACUUAACUGUCACUCCCAUUUUUCCUGAGAGAGUUUCCCAAAGUGUAUGUGCAUGGGAAUUGAUACCCGAUAUCAAAACAGUUGGUUAUGACAGCAGAAGUUGAUUAUAAUCAUAUCAAAAUUCACAUAAUACAAAAAAUUGAAAUACCAAAUUUUUAUUGCUGUCGCAUCAAUAUACUCAGCCAUUAAUUAUUAUUUUUUAAAAGAAACCUUUAAUUUUGAGCAUUUGAAUUCUUUUUAAGUACAGAAGCAAUUUCUUUAGCAGUUUGAACCAACCAUAAAGACCAAUUAUCUUAUCUAGUCAAUUAACACGAAAGUAGGUCAUAGGAAAGAACUUAGCAGUAAACAAACAGUAUAACAAUCUCUUCUCAAACAAACAGAGUACACCACUAAAUCGAUUAGAUCUAAAAGAACCAAACUUUAAUGCACUAAACUAAAAACAAAGCCGACCCAAGUCCUUAAAUAAGAUCCAAAAUCCAUAGAGCACCGAUCCCAUUGAACAACAAAACCCAACCAGAGAAAAGCUCCACCAUAAAUGCUAUGCUAUGUAUGCUGGUAAAAGUCGAGAAAAAAGUUAGGAUUUUGAAAACAAGAAAAUAAAAGCAGAAAACAUUCAAGGAAAAAAAAAACAGAGUAACAGAGAAUUAAGAUACCUA